GACUGGUCCAAAGGUAGUGAGUUAUCUCAUUUGAUUGUUCACAGUUACAGACUGAACUCCUUUUUCUACCACUUUUCAUCCCUUCUCACUACUAUACUUGACUAGUCUUUA
rnacentral:Y_RNA from 1 species